UAGCGCAAUUUUUUAAGGUUU
rnacentral:piRNA from 1 species